GAGACUUUAAUAUAAGUUUUUGUAUAUCUAAUUGUUGAUUAGAAAGUUUUUUGUCUCU
rnacentral:tRNA from 1 species